rnacentral:rRNA from 1 species
UGCAAGUCGAACGAGACCUUCGGGUCUAGUGGCGCACGGGUGAGUAACGCGUGGAAACCUACCAUUCUGUACGGAAUAACGAUUGGAAACGAUCGCUAAUACCGUAUACGCCCUGUGGGGGAAAGGUCCGCCGCAGAAUGAGGGGUCCGCGUCCGAUUAGCUUGUUGGUGGGGUAAAAGCCUACCAAGGCGAUGAUCGGUAGCUGGUCUGAGAGGAUGAUCAGCCACACUGGGACUGAGACACGGCCCAGACUCCUACGGGAGGUAGCAGUGGGGAAUAUUGGACAAUGGGGGCAACCCUGAUCCAGCAAUGCCGCGUGUGUGAAGAAGGCCUUAGGGUUGUAAAGCACUUUCAAUGGUGAAAGAUGAUGACGGUAGCCCGUAGAAGAAAGCCCCCGGCUAACUUCGUGCCAGCAGCCCGCGGGUAAAUACGAAGGGGGGCGAGCGUUGGUUCGGAAUUUACUGGGGCGUAAAGGGCCGCGCCAGGCGGGCCAAAUCCAGUCAGGUGGUGAAAAGCCCCGGGGCUUAACCUGGGGAACUUGCACCUUUGAUACCUGGAUUGGCUAGA